CCAGAUGCUUAGCUCUUUCAAGUUGGGACAAGAAACCUGCAAACGUUGAAGUAUUAUAAAGCAAUUCACAAUUUAAAAUUUAUAGAUAUCUCUAAUGAACUCAGGUUAAUAUCCAAUAACAAUCGCGUUCAUAAUCAAGGAAUCUCUAGAUAUUACUAAUACAGAUUAAAGUCUCUAGGCAAAAGCUAUUGGAUUCACGUGAACCCUUGAGUUACAAUAUUGUAGUUUGGCCUAUAUUUCUUACCUCCGUCUACAUAGAUAUCAGGUGGCAACCAGAAAUAACUAUAUGAAAAGAUUACUAUUACUAUUAUUAUUUGCUAGUUAAAAUGGAAACAUAGCACUAGACCAGGGGUGUAUUAAGGUAUGACACAAAUAUAUAUAGUAAUUAGUUAUAAAGCUAGUGACACAAGACAUACCUUAGAAUUGAACAUUGCUUUAUUGAGAUCAACUACU